rnacentral:rRNA from 1 species
UACAGAGGGUGCAAGCGUUGUUCGGAAUUACUGGGCGUAAAGGGCGCGUAGGCGGCUCGUUUAGUCGGGUGUGAAAUCCCGGGGCUCAACCCCGGAACUGCAUUCGAUACUGGCGGGCUAGAGACCGGAAGAGGUGGGUGGAAUACCCAGUGUAGAGGUGAAAUUCGUAGAUAUUGGGUGGAACACCGGUGGCGAAGGCGGCUCACUGGUCCGGUUCUGACGCUGAGGCGCGAAAGCGUGGGGAGCAAACAGG